AACGAACGCUGGCGGCAGGCUUAACACAUGCAAGUCGAACGCAUCCUUCGGGGUGAGUGGCAGACGGGUGAGUAACGCGUGGGAACGUGCCCUUCAGUUCGGGAUAACCCAGGGAAACUUGGGCUAAUACCGGAUACGUGCGAGAGCAGAAAGAUUUAUCGCUGAAGGAUCGGCCCGCGUCUGAUUAUCGAGUUGGUGGGGUAAUGGCCCACCAAGGCGACGAUCAGUAGCUGGUCUGAGAGGAUGAUCAGCCACAUUGGGACUGAGACACGGCCCAAACUCCUACGGGAGGCAGCAGUGGGGAAUAUUGGACAAUGGGCGCAAGCCUGAUCCAGCCAUGCCGCGUGAGUGAUGAAGGCCUUAGGGUUGUAAAGCUCUUUCGUCCGGGACGAUAAUGACGGUACCGGAAGAAGAAGCCCCGGCUAACUUCGUGCCAGCCGCCGCGGUAA
rnacentral:rRNA from 1 species